UGGGGAAUUUUGGACAAUGGGCGCAAGCCUGAUCCAGCCAUGCCGCGUGCGGGAAGAAGGCCUUCGGGUUGUAAACCGCUUUUGUCAGGGAAGAAAUCCUCUGAGUUAAUACCUCGGGAGGAUGACGGUACCUGAAGAAUAAGCACCGGCUAACUACGUGCCAGCAGCCGCGGUAAUACGUAGGGUGCAAGCGUUAAUCGGAAUUACUGGGCGUAAAGCGUGCGCAGGCGGUUUUGUAAGACAGAGGUGAAAUCCCCGGGCUCAACCUGGGAACUGCCUUUGUGACUGCAAGGCUUGAGUGCGGCAGAGGGGGAUGGAAUCCCGCGUGUAGCAGUGAAAUGCGUAGAUAUGCGGAGGAACACCGAUGGCGAAGGCAAUCCCCUGGGCCUGCACUGACGCUCAUGCACGAAAGCGUGGGGAGCAAACAGGAUUAGAUACCCUGGUAGUCCACGCCCUAAACGAUGUCAACUGGUUGUUGGGAAGGUUCCUUCUCAGUAACGUAGCUAACGCGUGAAGUUGACCGCCUGGGGAGUACGGCCGCAAGGUUGAAAC
rnacentral:rRNA from 1 species